UUGAACAAAAAAAAUUUUAUUAAUAUUUUUCUGCGUCCUUCUUCGAACAAUGCGAACUAGCCACGUUUGGUUUUAUCCAUUUCGCGCAUGCGCACCGAUAUUCAGUGUUUCAAAAUGUCCUAUUGUUGUAAGGGGUUUUUGUGUUUUCAAUUUUCCUCGUUUAGUAGUAUGUUUUUUUUAAACGAUAUUAUUACAAGUAUAAUAAUAAUACAAUAGUGGUGAAUAUAUAAAUCGUGUGAAUGUGAAAUUGAUUACAUACAAGAUAUAAUAUUAAUUUAAUAAAGUGUUUGAUACCAACAAAUUUGAUAUAACCUUUACAGAUUAUCUACUGAAAGUGAAUUAUCUAUGAGAGCACUGGUGCGUGGUAUAUGUCGAAGAGAUACUAAUUACGUAACAACAGUUUAUAAGGAAUAUUGAUACGUGAUGAAAUAUUUCAACUACACGAGAAUUAACAGGAAUAAAGGAAAGUAAAAUUAUUAUCAACA
rnacentral:lncRNA from 1 species